GAUGAACGCUAGCGGCAGGCCUAACACAUGCAAGUCGAGGGGUAGAGGAAGCUUGCUUCCUUGAGACCGGCGCACGGGUGCGUAACGCGUAUGCAACCUACCUUUUACAGGGGAAUAGCCCCAGAGAAAUUUGGAUUAAUGCCCCAUGGUAUAAUCGGAUGGCAUCAUUUGAUUAUUAAAGUUCCAACGGUAAAGAUGGGCAUGCGUCCUAUUAGCUAGAUGGUAAGGUAACGGCUUACCAUGGCUACGAUAGGUAGGGGUCCUGAGAGGGAGAUCCCCCACACUGGUACUGAGACACGGACCAGACUCCUACGGGAGGCAGCAGUGAGGAAUAUUGGACAAUGGGCGCAAGCCUGAUCCAGCCAUGCCGCGUGCAGGAUGACGGUCCUAUGGAUUGUAAACUGCUUUUUGUACAGGAAGAAACACUACUUCGUGAAGUAGCUUGACGGUACUGUAAGAAUAAGGAUCGGCUAACUCCGUGCCAGC
rnacentral:rRNA from 1 species